rnacentral:rRNA from 1 species
UACGAACCGUACAAACGUUAUUCGGAAUCACUGGGCUUAAAGGGUGCGUAGGCGGCCAUGUAAGUGAGGUGUGAAAUCCCUCGGCUCAACCGAGGAACUGCGCUUCAAACUACAUGGCUUGAGGGAGACAGGGGUUAGCGGAACUGAUGGUGGAGCGGUGAAAUGCGUUGAUAUCAUCAGGAACACCGGUGGCGAAAGCGGCUAACUGGGUCUCUUCUGACGCUGAGGUACGAAAGCUAGGGUAGCGAACGGG